rnacentral:lncRNA from 7 species
CUUUAGUGAACCUAGGCAUGGACAUGGAUAAUAUCAUCUCUGAAAUACGUUCCAUGGAAGACCCCGCUAUGCUACUAGUUGCUUUUGUGAAAUCAUAUCGUUUCCAAGGGACGUGUAGUAUGUGUAUAGGAUUUACUACAAGUUUCCUGGAUAAUGCAUAACAUCCGAUCCAAUCUUUUUAGUUACUCGCGCGUUUAUUCGUGAGGCGGCAAAAUAGAUGUUCAUCAGCUGUCCGAGUCCAGAAUGGUGUGCAGUAUGACAUG